rnacentral:rRNA from 1 species
CGGGAAGAGCUCAAAUUUGAAAUCUAGUAGCCUUCGGCUGCUCGAGUUGUAAUCUAUAGAAUGUUUUCCGUGCUGGCUCAUGUACAAGUCCCUUGGAACAGGGCGUCAUAGAGGGUGAGAAUCCCGUACUUGACAUGAAUUACCAGUGCUCUGUGAUACAUUUUCAAAGAGUCGAGUUGUUUGGGAAUGCAGCUCAAAAUGGGUGGUAAAUUCCAUCUAAAGCUAAAUAUUGGCGAGAGACCGAUAGCGAACAAGUACCGUGAGGGAAAGAUGAAAAGCACUUUGGAAAGAGAGUUAAACAGUAUGUGAAAUUGUUAAAAGGGAAACGAUUGAAGUCAAUCAUGUCCUUGGGUCUUACCACCCUUGGAUGGGGUCAACAUCAGUUUUGAUCGGUGGAUAAGGAUAGGAGGAAGGUAGCACUCUCGGGUGAACUUAUAGCC